rnacentral:rRNA from 1 species
CUCCUACGGGGGGCAGGCAGUGGGGAAUCUUGCACAAUGGACGAAAGUCUGAUGCAGCAACGCCGCGUGGGGGAUGAAGCUUUUCGGAGUGUAAACCCUUUCGACCCGGAAGAAUGCCCGCAAGGGCUUGACGGUACGGGUAUAAGAAGCCCGGCUAACUACGUGCCAGCCGCCGCGGUAAUUC